GGGUCCCCCUGGUCAGGUUUCCAUUUCAUAGGUAUUGAAAUUAUAUACACAGUCAAUAUUUCAAACAGAUUAUAGAGCAAAUGAAAUUCAUCCAAAACAACACUAAAUAUUACAAUACAUAAUAUGCUACUCUGACCAAUAUUACACUUUGCCUGAUAUUACAAUACAUAAUAUGCUACUCUUGCUGAUAGGCUUCACGGCUUCACACUUCAUACUUCACCUAUGCAAAAAGAAGAAGAAUAAGAACCUGUAGGCAGCAUCAAACAUAGCUUAUAAGAAGAAUUGACAAUAAGCUCAAUUUAACUAGUCAACAAAUCUUCCAUCUAUAUUUCUAUCAGCAGCACACUAGAUAGGCCACACAUUUAUUCCUACAGUACAGUGAGGAAAAAACAGAUUAUGGUGCCUGCCAAGUGACGUAAAAUCAUAUUAUCAGCAACACACUAGAUAGGCCACACAUUUAUUACAUUUACAUGGUGGUGGCUGGCUGGCAACCAUGGCUGCUAGCUCAUGCUGCCAGUGUGCAUGCACAUCUCCCCGCUGGAACCAACCCAACCCAAACGAAGCAACAGUAGCAAACCACACAUGUACCAGUAAACUUCAGUAUGAAACAAUUCAUCGCCGAAAUAAACUACCAAAUCAUUUCCAAGAAUUUCGAAGAAACCACCUCAAGUCGAUUCAGCCAAGGAUAUUAUUUUCCACAAGCAAAAAACUAUGGUUCAGCUCCCACAUGGGCAUGGGGUUUUUGGGUUUCAAGACACAAAUCACAGAACUGGAUGGGCAUAUAGAAGGUACACUAUGAAUCUACGGCGUCAACCUGCUGGAGUUACUUGUCCUCAGUGAUGAGCAACUGCUUCCUCCUUGGGCUUGGUCAUCUGGACAGCCAAAAAAACAUGCAACUGUAAGAAGAUGGAUUGAUGGUAAAAAGAGUGAAGAAUUGUGAUUCAGUGAACAGAAAAGCAUAUGUACAUUAUAAUACUGCAGACAAGAAAAUAAUAAUCCUAAUAUGAAGAUAAGUGUUUUUCUUAUUGAUGGCUGUAAGAUGGACUGAUCGUAAAAAGAGAGAAGAAUUUUGAUUCAGUGAACAGAAAACAAGACGUUAUUAUUCAGCUGUGAUACUCGAUAUUUGACAAGUAUUGAUAUUUGACAAGUAUGGUUUCAUGUAUACUCCUACAAGUUAGGCAGAGCAAUGUACAAGAUAAAUCGUUUUAUAUAAAGCGUGUCCAAUUAAUAUCCAAAAUGCUAUCGAGCAGAGCAUAGAAACAGAGUCCCAAAAAUCUAAUUAUCUGCUGCGGCGACAGCCACGCAGCAAGCCAGCAGCGGCAGGCUGGGGCGAGGGUUGGGGAGCAGGCAAGUGUUCUCAGGUUAUUAACAGGGAAACUGGGUGAUUAACAUCUCUCCAAAAAGAAAAAGAAAACAACUUUAAAUAUUGAGUGUGGCAGCAACAUGUACUUGUUACUGGAGUCCCAGUUCAAGAUGGCCAAAGGCCACUUGGCACCAUGGAACCUGCACAAUUUCCAUCAUAUAUAUGAAUGAGUUAGGAAGUAAAGUAUAUUUGAACUACCCAGCCUCAUACAUAUAUAUAAAGUGUGUUGCACUGCUGCUACAGAAAGUUUCAUAGGCUUCCAAGUGAAGGGAUACACGUUGUUCAACUGCCGUGUUUAUUUUUUGUUGUUGGGGAAAGCAAUAGCUUAAUCAGUUCACUUCUCUAAUAGUAUGAACAACCUAUCACUCAAACAGUCCUUGAGUGCUAAUAUAUUAUUGUAUUGGUAAAAGUAACAUGUCACCACGAAGAGCUUUAACAGUUAGCACCAUUUUUUAUUAGAGAAGUUCAGACAGAGAUUUGAUAAAUCUAUAUUAGAGAAAACUUGAAGACAACAUACAGAAUUAUGAGCUUAACAGUUACUGCUAUGACCAUAUCACGCAAGCUACAACAUAUAAAUUAAUUAGCAUUAGUAUGAUGUAUAUGGACAGAAUUUCUACCUUGCCGUCAGCAAGAAACAUGACGGGAGGUCGAGGAGAUUUCGAGCGGCUCCGUGUUAGCUGCCAUCACCACGACGAACUCAGAUGUCCCGCUGUUAAGAGAACUUGGUCGCUGUGGAAAGCAAGAAACAAAUAUUAAAAUCACAGGAGGUGAAAUUAACAGGAAGGACCAAUGGGCACUGCUAGGGAUUGGUCACCUUCAUGGGGAACUGAACAUCCAACUAGUUUUAGUCAAAGUCUUAAGCAUAUACAUACAUACAAAUUGAACCAAAAAUCAUAUGCAUGUCUGUACAAUAAUUGCAAGGCUAUCCAACUUGCAGUUGGAGAGAGUACCAACAAGUUUACUGGUAGUACAUCACACCAGCCUACACAACAUUCAGGUUCUCGCACGAAUGCUAGUAGACAGACAAGAGUUGACCACAAACAAAGAAUGAAUCCAUCGUAUUAUGCCAGUAGUAGGUACAGCUUGGCUUCAGUCAUAGAAAGGGAACAUGAGUUUGCUUGCUUGAACCAAAAGGUUCACCAUAGGAAUUGGGCAUCCAACAUGUUUUAGCCAAAGUCGUAAGCAUGAACAAACAAACAUACGUACAAAAUGAACCAAAAUCCAUAUGUCCGUGCAAUUAACUACAGGUGCUAUCCAACUUGCUAUUGGACAGAGUAGAGCCUGAUUUACUAGCAGUCUGACACAAAAUUCUAACUCUAGGCUUGGUGCAUGAAUCCUAGUAGAGAGACAAGAAAGAGUUGACCACAACAAAGAAUUCAUUCAUGGGAUUAUUCUAGUAGCAAGUACUGCUUGGCUGCAGUUUUAGAAAGGGGACUUGAGUUUGGUCAAACAAAAAGAAAAAGUGACGCAUACUUGUUCAUAGAUAGAAACUGAACAUCCAACGGCAAUGGCGGCGCCGAGGCGGGUGGACGGGCGGCAGCUUGGGUGAUCUCAUCUGCUAAACCAUGUCGCUGAUGAGCUGCACGUGGCUGCUCCGGUGCCUCUCCACGAACAUCCUCGACGCGCCCGCCACCGUCUUCUUCCACGUAUGAGCGCGCACGCACGCGCAACCAACCAACACAUCAUUAGCCGAGGCGAUCGAAAUUGAGGUACAGAAAUGGAGUGACGGAGAGACGGCCAGCGUAUUAGCUUACCCGCUCCAGCGCGGGAAGCAAGUGCGCGACGCCGGCCUCGUCGAGCCGCGCGCCCCGCUUCGCAUGCGCGUGGCUGCCAUUGCCCUUCCGCGCGGAGGAGGAGGAGGAGGCUGUGGUGGUGGUCGGCAGCAGCAUCCCGGCCCUCCAGUCCGUGGACCCGCCAAUGCUGCGCCGCGGUUUGGGCGCCGCCAGCUCCAGAUCCGCCCCGGAUGCGCUGGAGUCUUUGGCGGAGAGCCCCGACGCGACGUGGCGGGACGAGCGCUUGCGGCGCAGCACGAGGCUGCGGCGGGGCGGGGUUGACCGCUGCUUGGAGCGCGGGUAGGAGGGAUCCCACUUGGCCAUGCUGGUGCGGUCGUGGUCGGCACCUGUGUGCAUACAUCGCUGGCCGGCCUCGUGGGAGUGAGCGCUUUUCUCUCCGUCGGCUCGAGCUCGAUCGAUCGUGUGGUCGUUGUGUUGUGUGUGACCGCCAGUUUUACUUGUCCCGUGACACAGGCGGGCGAAACGGAAGGGAAUCUCCAUCAUCAUACGAGUUGGGUGGCGGCGCCGAGGCGGGUGGGUGGGAGGGGAGGAAGGAAUGAACCGGGGAGACGGUCUGGUUUGGGAAAUCGGCAACGGCGCGCGGGAGGCGUCGAGGGAGGAGGAGCAGGCGGAGCAGGAGGGCGUGGGGGAGGCCAUGGACGGCGGCGAGCUCCGCUGGAGGGAGGUGGCGGCGGUGAUCUCUUCCUCGAUCUGGAGGGAGCUGGAGGAAGGAAGGAGACGAGCUCUCUCUCGAUCUGGGAUGGAUUGGGAAAAAAAGGAGGCGGGGGGUGGAUGCAAAAUGACCACGAGAACAGAGUUAGGGUUGGUGUGGAAGGGUUGAUGACUGCCGUUGGAUCCUCGAGCAUUUGACGUUGUAUAAUCCAUGAUCCGCGUGAUAUGUUUAUAGACCAAUCAAAACGCAGCAAACAAUUCGAAGACCUUAUGACCAUCUAAAUGGGUCGAAAUCAAAGAUAAGUUUUUCAGAAAAAACCACUUUUCACUUUUUAGUUCUCAAAAUGAGUUUUUUUAAAAGACCUACCAAAUAUUUGUUGAAAUGAUCUCAUAUUGUGCACAAGGGUGCAUCUUGGAAUUCCAAACAAUGUUGCCUAAGGGAGUUUUCAUUUUCUUUGCACGGAAAAUUCAUUUUCCAUUUUUCGAGUGCCCGAAAUGGGUUUUUUUAAGCACCUAUCAUAUAUUUGUUGUAAAAUUGGACCAAAUCAAUUUUCUAAAAUACUAGGCCAUAUUUAAUGCACAAUUGACAAAAUGGUUGGGUGUCAAAAGUUUUGAUCCACCUCUGGUGAAAAAGACAAAUUCCCGCCGAUUUAAUAGGAACCGGGUCAAAUUUGAACUGCAUCUCCCUCAUAAUUUGCUGUUUAUUUUUUCCAAAAAUCAUUUCUAGGUACAUAAGUAUCUAUUUAAUCAAGGAAACAUCAAAAGUUUUCCAAGAUUCAACCACUAGCUAGGAACGGCCAAGCCCGCCGUUUUGAUCGCAUUUUGAAAUGGGAAUAAAAAAUUCAAAAAAAUUAAAAAUUGGAAAACCUUCGCAUUGUGUCAUUAUAUGUGACCAAGUUUCCAGGAAAAAUAAUAAAGUUGUAAUAUGACAAUUAAUUUAAAAAAAAAUUCUAAAAAAUGAGCUAUCAUGCUUGAAGAUUCAUGGCUUUCAAGCCAAAUGGUCAAUCUUAUGGCUACAUUCAUGGUAUAGUUUGUUCCAAUGAUCUCAUAUUGUGCACAAGGGUGCAUCUUGGAAUUCCAAAUAAUGUUUUUAAGGGAGUUUUCAUUUUCUUUGCAUGGAAAAUUCAUUUUCCAUUUCCCGAGUGCCCGUGAUGAGUUUUUUUGUGAAGGACCUACCAUAUAUUUGUUGCAAAAUUGGACCAAAUCAAUUUUAUAAAAUACUAGGCCAUAUUUAAUGCACAAUUAACAAAAUGGUUGGGUGUCAAAAGUUUUGAUCCACCUCUGGUGAAAAAGACAAAUUCCCGCCGAUUUAAUAGGAACCAGGUCAAAUUUGAACUGCAGCUGCCUCAUAGUUUGCUCUUUAUUUUUUCCAAAAAACAUUUCUAGGUACAUAAGUAUCUAUUUAAUAAGAGAAAUAUCAGAAGGUUUCCAAGAUUCAACCACUAGCUAGGAACGGUCAAGCCCGCCGUUUUGAUCGCAUUUUGAAACGGGCAUACAAAAUUGAAAAAGAAUCAAACAAUUGGAAAACCUUCACAUUGUGUCAUUAUAUGUGACCAAGUUUCCAGGAAAAAUAAUAAAGUUGUAAUACGACAAUUAAUUUAAAAACGUGUUCUCAGAAAUAAGCUAUCAUGCGUGAAGAUUCAUGGCUUUCAAGCCAAAUGAUCAAUCUUGUGGCCACAUUCAUGGCAUAGUUUGUUCAAAUGAUCUCAUAUUAUGCACAAGGGUGCAUCUUGGAAUUCCAAACAAUGUUUCUUAAGGAAUUUUUCAUUUUCUUUGCACGGAAAAUUCAUUUUCCAUUUUCCGAGUGCCCGAAAUGAGUUUUUUUGUGAAGGGCCUACCAUAUAUUUGUUGCAAAAUUGGACCAAAUCAAUUUUCUAAAAUACUAGGCCAUAUUGAAUGCACAAUUGACAAAAUGGUUGGGUGUCAAAAGUUUUUAUCCACCUCUCGUGAAAAAGACAAAUAUUCGCCCAUUUAGUAGGAAACGUGUCAAAUUUGAACUGCAGCUGCCUUAUAGUUUGCUCUUUAUUUUUUCCAAAAAUCAUUUCUAGUUACAUAAGUAUCUAUUUAAUCAUAAAUACAUGGUUUGGUGGUGAUACGUCGUGGUUUGGACGGUGGCCCAGGGCCCCAACUCCAAAGCGCGUAGACUCGCAUGCCCGUCGCGUGGUCACCACCUGACCGUGGCAUUGCAAUCCGUUCUGGGUAGCCUAGGCAUGUCUAGUAGGUUGGGCACUCCUCAGGUAGAUGCUAGGAAGAAAAUAACAACAGAAGAAUCUCACGAGAAGACCGAACUAUUCUCAAACAUGAAUUAGCAGCCAAGUGUUUGAUAAGCGGUACGGGAAAUUCACAAGGCUAAUGGGCCUGAGUUUUGGCUGAGGAUGAUCAUCUACUAGGGAGACUGUCUUGGCAAAUUUUCAGCUCAAAUGGAGGAGUUUGUAUGGCACUUGCUUUGCGAAGUACCACAUCGGGCAGAAAUAUGGAUGUUGAAUCUGGACUCAAAUGGAUAAGUGGAUUGAGCUUAAAUUUUGUGGAGUAUGGUAAUUUGGGCAUAUUAAAGCACUGUAAAGGUUUUAUACCAUUUGGAUAAUCCUAGCUUGUACUUCCUUCACAAAGCUUCUCUCCGGAUAGAAACUUUAUAAAUUUGUUGAGGAAGAUUUAAUAGGAAAAUGGAGCUGAAUAUUGGAAUGUGGCAAUGAUUUUUAUAUGUAAGAUGGCACAAAAAGUUUGAGGACAAUAGGAGGUGUCUAGAUAGCACUUCCUUUGCAAUCUGCCAAUUUGGACAAAAAAUAGAAAUUGAAGCUGGGCUUACAUAGAUGAUUGGAUUAUGGUGAAAUUCGGCAUACGGGGUUUCUAUAGUCAAGGUAAUGUCCUGGAAAAUUUUCAACAAUUAUAAAGGAAUAUAAAAUGUAGUUGCUUCACAAAAUAAAAAUAUUACCAGGAACAAAGAUUCGAUGGUGAGCUCACAUGUAUUGUUAGAUAGAGCUAAACUUUUGUGUAGAGUUAUGACUUUGGCAUAUAGAAUAUGUGGCAAAAAUUAAACUCAUAACGAUGUUCCUAUCUUGUACUUCCUUCACAAUGCUUCUAGGUGGACAAAAACUUUGGAAAUUUGCUGAGGAAGAUUUGCUGGGCAAAUGGACCUGAAUUUUAUCAUGCGGCAAUGAUUUCGAUAGGAAAGAAUGCCCAAAAAUUUUGAGGGCAAUCAAGAAUAUAUAAAUAGCACUUCCUUCACAAAGUGUUUUUCUGAACAGAAUAGGAAAA
rnacentral:lncRNA from 1 species